rnacentral:rRNA from 1 species
CAGUCGCCGCGGGAAUACAGAGGGUGCGAGCGUUAAUCGGAUUUACUGGGCGUAAAGCGUGCGUAGGCGGCUUCUUAAGUCGGAUGUGAAAUCCCUGAGCUUAACUUAGGAAUUGCAUUCGAUACUGGGAAGCUAGAGUAUGGGAGAGGAUGGUAGAAUUCCAGGUGUAGCGGUGAAAUGCGUAGAGAUCUGGAGGAAUACCGAUGGCGUAGGCAGCCAUCUGGCCUAAUACUGACGCUGAGGUACGAAAGCAUGGGGAGCAAACAGGAUUAGAUACCCGCGUAGUCCCUGUCUCUUAUAC